CGCGUGGCCAAUCCGCUGGGGUUUUGUCAUCACCGCCCCACGCCCCGGGGCUUCAUGGGAUUUGUAGUGCUUUGAGGAGCUUCGGGCGUGCCUGGCGCUGGCUAUUUGGACUGCCCCAGAGGAUAAAAGAUCCCCUGUGGGUGGGGUGACCAGGUGGACUAGGCGUUUUGUCUAAGCUAGGAAGGAAGGCCAGGUUUCAAACUCUGCGUGUCAUGCCGCAGGCCUGCAGACCAGGGCCAAAUACGAUGGGUAUUUUAGAGGAUCUGCUAUGCUGCCCGGGGUGUCCAACCCGCGGUAUAGACUAUGCAGACUGCUCCCCUGCUCUCGCAAGAGGAUGGAUUAAAAAAACGAAACAAAACUGGAAUUGAAAAUAUUAAGGGUGUGCUACAUGCCUGUGCCCUUAAAAAUUGCAAACAUCCUGUGAGGCAGGAAUUAUAACCAUGGGAAUCUAGAGACAAAGAGUUGGAUUUUGUCUUGGUUUAGCUACUUAAUUGCACACAGGCAGGCUGUCUGCACCUCGGUUUUUCUUAUCUGUAAAAUGGGUAUAAAACAAGGUCUUUCAUAGGAUUGUAGGGAAAAUGAAAUGAGACACACUGUGAAAGAACUUUGAAAUUCACAAGGCAUUGUAGAAAUGUUAAUGGUGAUGGUACCUUCUUUAACCCUCCAAGGCAGGCUCUCAAUGGAUGACAAAUUCUGGUGGGGG